CGACGCGCUGAAGAACAUCGACGACAAGGCGGCUGCCGCCCAGCAGGGCGACAUCAUCGUGACUGAUGAGAGUUCGAAGAGAAUGUCGCAGCCCCAAAAGGGAGCGCCUGCUUCGGCACAGAAGAAAUCUGGCACNNNNGCCUGCGAACGCGCAACCGUUGCCAACCGGCGCGGCGCCAGAAACGCCCCCUGCUUCGGGC
rnacentral:misc_RNA from 1 species